AUGAGGAUCUUGCUCCUGGCGUGCCGCCAUUGCUGCAGGCUCCCAUUUUUUUCUCGGGCUGCCGGAGCUGCCUUCACUGCCAAUUGCGGCGGGGGGCCAUGGAGGAGGCAUCGCGUUCUAGCUGCGCAGUGUCUUUCCAUGAGCACAACUGCUGGCUCGAUUCUGCCAUGGGAAGCGCCAUCCCGUGAAACCCUACUGAGGACGAUUGAUGUUGCUCUCAAGGAUGGCAAUGUCGACCAGGCCCUGCGAGCAUUUGGCAAUUAUAAAAGUCUGCACGGCCUUCCCGAGCCAAGGGUAUUGAAUGGUGUGAUUGUGUCGCUGUCGUACACAUCUAGUCGAAGGUGGCUUCAGAGAGCGUAUGACUUGGUUCUGUCAGUUUAUCAGUGUAACAGCAAUCUUCUCAACUCUAGCUCGCUGAUGAGGCUAGCUCUGGCACUUGCAAGAGAUCAGACACCUGUCCCUGCCUCUGCAGUCCUUAGGAUCAUACUGGAGAGCGGCAAGCUUCCUGAUGCUGAUAUGUUGAGCAUGGUGUUUUUGCACAUGUUGAAGUCACAAGUAGGGUCCUAUCUUGCAGCUGAUGUUCUGGCUGAGACCUGCGAGUGUUUCUUGGAUCAAAUUUCAUAUAGGCGACAGCUGAAAAAAUUGGACCCAAUAAAGAACAAUGUCACCUUGUUCAAUAUGAUUUUGGAGUCUUGUGUUAACUUCAAAUGCAUCAUCAGAGCCCAGAAAAUAAUGGAGCUGAUGUCAUUGGUCGGGGUUGUGGCUGAUGUGAAUACAAUGGCGGUCGCUAGCCGGGUCUGUCAAAUGGUUGGGCAGCGAGAUGAAUUGAUGACCAUGAAAGGAAGCAUCAAUUCUUUCUCCUCUUUGCCAUUCUCUCAGCAAUAUCUACAUUUUUACGACAGUUUAUUGAGCUUGCAAUUCAGUGGUAAUGACAUGGAUGCUGCUGCAGAUCUUAUAAUCGAUCUCUAUCGGCAACAAAAGUCAUGCACUUUCUCCGACAAUGAUGUGCAGAAACAAGGUGUGAUACAAAUUGGCUCUGGUAACCUAAAAAGUGGAUACAGAAUAAUGUUUGACCCCACAAAAUUGGACAAAGGUUUUGUGUUAGAUACAAAAUACCAGUCUGGACUUGUUGUUCCUAUCAGUGGAAAUCUUGUUCCUAGUGAAAAGGCUGUUUCUAAACUUAUCAUAGGCUGUGUGAAAGCAAAGAAACUGGGUGCAUUGUCUAGCUUCUGUAUUACAUUGCAUAAGGAAGAACUAAAGGGAAUUUCUGCUUCAGAUGUGAUUAAUGCAUGCAUUCAGAUGGGAUGGUUGCAUGCCGCUCAUGAUAUCCUGGAUUCUUUAGAGUCAGCUGAGAUUCCUGUCGGGGUUGGUACUUACAUGUCUCUUCUCAGAGAAUACGAGAAUGAGCAUAAACCCGAAGAAUUCAAUUCACUUCUCCAACAGAUACAGAAAAUAGCAUCUACCAUGGAGGAAUUUCAUACUAGUCCAUCAUUUACCAUAAAGGACAUUGCCAAAAUAGUCAAGGAUGAGAUCCCCCAAACUAAAUCAUCUUUGCUUUCCAGUUUGGUUGAAGAAACUGAACACUAUAACCCUGGAGAUCACUUAACAUUUGAGUUCAAUAAUUCAAUUCUUUUCUUCUGCAAGGCAAACAUGAUGGAAGAUGCUCUGAGCACAUAUAAACGCAUGAGAGAGCAAAAUAUUAGACCCAAUCUGCAUACCUUUUGCCAUAUACUGUGUGGAUAUUCGUCAUUAAGUAUGUAUAGGGAGAUUACCAUACUGUGGGGAGAAAUAAAACGAAGACUCGAGUACAGAGAAAUAUCUGUGGAUAGGGAUUUGCUUGACUGCUUAGUUUUGGAUUUCCUCAAAGGUGGCUAUUUUUCAAGGGUGAUGGAGGUUAUAAGUUACAUGUCAACCCAUAAUAUUUACUGCGACAAGUGGAAAUAUAGGCAGGUCUUUCUGAAGCUGCACAAGAAUCUGUAUAGGAACUUGAAUUCAUUGCAUGACAAAACAGAAGCUCAGAGCAAAAGGAUUGAUGAUGUCCGAGCUUUCAGGACAUGGGCAGGCAUCAAAUAG
rnacentral:rRNA from 1 species